GCCUUCCUAGCUCAGUGGUAGAGCGCGUCACUAGUAAUGACGAGGUCGUCAGUUCAAUUCUGGCGGAAGGCAA
rnacentral:tRNA from 1 species